GAUACCCCUCCACGUGCGAUCUCACGUGAAACGGUACAUAAAAUAUUACGACUUUUGCGAAUUUCCCGAUUUUCCACUCUCGACCCCUUAGCGAACAUUUCGCAUUUCCCGAAAAUCCGUCCAUCGGAUUUUCGAUCCGACAGCGCCAUCGCGUUCAGCACGACGGAGACAACAAAGCUGUGAUUUCGCUUCACCUCGAUCAACCACGGAUUCACGACACAAUCCAAUCUUCUUUCCACAUAAGAAAAUAACACCUAAAUACAUAUAAAACAUGUAUUUUUGGAUUUUCUUGAAGUUCGUGCGUCAAACUCAAAAUCCGUCAGCGGCAGUAGUUCCAGAAUAGCUGAACCGGUCGAAACGAGCUAUUGGAUCACUAUGAAC
rnacentral:lncRNA from 1 species